rnacentral:lncRNA from 1 species
GAAUCUUUUCUGGAAUCAGUUGUCAGGAGAGAUACCAGCAAAUAUAAGCCUCAUUCCUACACUGGAAACCUUCAAAGUUUUUAGCAAUCAAUUGAGUGGAGUUUUACCUCCAACAUUUGGCCUUCAUUCGGAGCUCAAACUCUUUGAGGUUUCCGAGAAUAAACUAAGCAGGGAAUUACCUCAACAUUUAUGCGCUAAGGGGGCUUUGCUUGGAGUGGUCGCUUCCAACAACAAUCUCAGCGGGGAAGUGCCCAUGUCCCUCGGGAAUUGCACAAGUUUGCUCACCAUUCAGCUUUCCAACAAUUGUUUUUCAGGCGGGAUUCCUUCCGGCAUUUGGACAUCCCCGGACAUGGUAUCAGUGAUGUUAGAUGGAAACUCAUUCUCAAGGACACUUCCAAGUAAAUUGGCAAGGAAUUGUCUAGAGUGGAGAUCACUAACAGCAAGUUUUAUGGUCCAAUUCCUGCUGAAAUCUCUUCCUGGAUGAACAUCUCUGUGCUCAAUGCCAGCAACAAUAUGUUGUCUGGAAAAAUUCCAGUGGAAUUGACCAGUCUUUGGAACACCACUGUUCUGUUGCUUGAUGGGAAUCAAUUCUCGGGUGAACUUCCAUCCCAGAUCAUCUCAUGGAAGUCGCUCAAUAAGUUAAAUCUCUCAAGAAACAAACUUUCUAGCCUAAUUCCCAAGGCAUUAGAUUCUUUAACUAGCCUUAGUUACCUCGACCUGUCAGAAAACCAGUUCUCAGGUCAAAUUCCUCCUGAACUUGGCCAUUUGAACCUUAUUAUCCUCCAUCUUUCGUCCAACCAACUCUAUGGGAUGGUCGCCAUUGAGUUUCAACAUGAAGCAUAUGAAGACAGUUUCUUGAACAAUCCCAAGUUGUGUGUCAAUGUUCCCUCUCUGAACCUCCCUAGAUGUGAUGCCAAACCUGUCAACUCCGACAAAUUGUCAACCAAAUAUCUCGUUAUGAUCCUAAUUUUUGCUCUAUCUGGUUUCCUAGCUGUUGUUUUCGUCACCCUGUCCGUGGUUCAUGUCUAUCAUAGGAAGAAUCACAGUCAGGAGCAUACAGCUUGGAAAUUUACUCCAUACCAUAAACUAGAUCUCGAUGAAUACAACAUAUUGUCCAGUUUGACAUAAAAUAAUCUGAUCGGAUGUGGUGGGUCAGGGAAAGUAUACCGAAUUGCUAAUAAUCGUUCUGGUGAACUCUUAGCGGUUAAAAUGAUUUGUAAUAACAGGAGAUUGGAUCAAAAGCUUCAGAAACAAUUCGAAACAGAAGUCAAGAUAUUGAGCACCAUACGCCAUGCCAAUAUAGUGAAGUUGUUGUGUUGCAUAUCAAAUGAAACCUCAAGUCUUCUUGUUUACAAGUACAUGGAGAAGCAGAGUUUGGAUAGAUGGCUUCAUGGGAAGAAGCAAAGAACAUCGUCCAUGACAAGUUCAGUUCAUAACUUCGUCUUGGAUUGGCCAACAAGGUUGCAGAUUGCCAUUGGACCUGCAAAAGGCCUAUGCCACAUGCAUGAAUACUGUUCUGUCCCAAUCAUACAUCGAGAUGUGAAGUCCAGCAACAUCUUGCUAGAUGCCGAGUUCAAAGCGAAAAUUGUGGAUUUUGGAUUGGCUAAGACGUUGGUCAAGCAAGGAGAACCCAACACCAUGUCAGGAAUUGUAGGCUCUUACAGGUAUAUUGCCCCUGGUAAGACCAUCAAGGCCCUCCUUUCCACAUGUUUUCAUUUCCAUAAUUUAUCGAUAAUUUGUAUCAUACCAUUCUCGUAUACUUGGAUCAUAGAGUAUGCUUAUACAACAAAGGUGAACAAGAAGAUCGAUGUAUAUAGCUUUGGAGUAGUCUUGCUUGAGCUUGUGACGGGAAGAGAACCCAACAAUGGGGACGAGCACAUGUGCCUUGCAGAAUGGGCAUUGGAUCAGUUUAGAGAAAGGAAAACCAUUGAGGAAGUGGUAGACGAGGAGAUCAAGGAACAAUGUGAUAGAGCACAAGUGGCCACUCUCUUCAAACUAGGCAUUAGGUGCACUAACAAAUUACCAUCCAAUAGGUCCACAAUGAAAGAGGUUUUGAAAAUUCUUCAACAGUGCAGUCCUCAAGAGGGCCAUGGAAGAAAUAAAAAGGACCAUGAAGUUGCACCUCCACUUCAAAAUGGCACUUAUCCCACCACUUACAAGUUGUGAGGAUAAAGCCCUUAAAAACAUGAUAUUAUGUAAUAAAUUUGGAACUCAUUAUUUAUUUAACGAUGUUCUGAUUUCACUUUUAUCUAUUCUUAUUCCAUGUAUUAUACUUUAUGAGCAUUCUUGUCUGCAUCUUUUGCAUUGCACGUAACUUAGGUGCAUUAAAAGUUGCACAGAAGAUCUAGGUCAUGGGUUCCUCGCAAAUAUAUGACUUGUUCACAACCAGUUCAUGGGUCUAGGAAGCCCAUUAGAGGUUGUAAAAAACCACUUCCUAAUUGGAAGAAUGGCUAGUCUUAGCUAUUGGGAUGAGUUUUCCAUGAUAAGUGCAUUAGUGUGUAUGGUUACAUAUUGGACAAGACCUAUGGUGAAUCAUGACUUAAGGUUAUCAAGCAGUCAUGACCUCAUCAAACUGCUUCAUUGUGUUGUCUCUCAACCUUGAGAGAAUAUUGAGCUUGUACUAAAGUUAGCAAUGACUUUGACAUACAGGUGAGAUCGUAAGUUGAUCAUAUAUUCCCUAUGGAUUGAGUCACUGUUGAUGGAAGAUGGUAGCGAUAGGUAUUUUCAAUAAAAACACCAUGAUGUUUCUUGGGAUUAAGACAAUGUGCCCCUUUUGGUGAUCUUAAAGAGGUGUGUUCAUGGAAACUAUGGUCAUAGUAGUUCCUUAAGUAAAAAUCGACAUAGGCUCUUUGAGAGGUAAGACAUGUCAAUUGAAUACACAAUAGGAGGAUUUAUAACUCAAGGAUGGUAGAGGUAGUCUUGAAAGACUAAUAACUUUCACUUUGUUAGACUAUGAAUAUCAGUUCAUGGGAAGACUAAACACAAUAAAUAGCAAGUCACAAACCUGAACAUUUGGUAUCUCAUUGUUAUUUUCAAUAAAAUAACAAUGAGAUGGUAAGUUGAUCAUAUAUACCCUAUGGAUUGGGUCACUGUUGAUGGAAGAUGGUAGCAAUAGGUAUUUUCAAUAAAAGCACCAUAAUAUCUCUUGGGAUUAAGACAUUGUGCCCCCUUGGGUGAUCCUAAAGAAGUGUGUUCAUGGAAACUAUAGUCAUAGUAAUUCCUUAAGUAAAACUCAACAUAAGCUUUUUGAGAGCUAAGACAUGUCAAUUGAAUACACACUAGGAGGAUUUCUAACUCAAGGAUGAUAGAGGUAGCCUUGAAAGACUAAUAACUUUCACUUUGUUAGACUACGAACAUCAGUUCAUGGGGAGACUAAACACAAUAAAUAGCAAGUCACAAGCUCGAGCAUUUGGUAUCUCAUUGUUAUUUACAUAGGAUACCGGAGUUCAAUUGAUUCUUUGUAGUGGGAUGUUGAAUCAACUUUAGAAUUGGAUUUUGAGAGAGUCGGUAUUCCUAUGGGUCCCAAUGGUCCUUACUCUAAGCUUAUAUACUUUGUUGGCAAGGAUUAUAAGAGUCGGAUUAGCUCUAGGUUUACUUUUGUACAUAAGGGCAUUUUGAUAAUUACGCAAGGUUACACAAAGGUAAAUGAACAAGGUUUUUAGAUUGGGUUAAUUGAUUAAUUAGUAGGCCCUGUUUGGUUAAUUAAUCAAUUAGGACUUUCUAUAUUAAGUGACCUAAGCCCUUAGUGGGCUCAAGUCACUUAAACCUAAUAGAAAACCCUAUAAAUACCCCCUUAAGGGUUAGAGUUUAUAUAGUUUUUCUAAAAAGCCAUCUUCUAUCUCUAAAGAGAAAGAGAAAGAGUCAUAGCAUCCACCCUCCCUUCUAUCUCCACUAGAAGUGUGUCGAUCAAGGUUCAAGUCAUUGGGAGGAAAACUUUGAAUUUACGAGACUUCUGCGAUUUCGUUCUUCAUUUUCACAAUGUGGAUUUGAUUCGAGAACAUCCGAAUUUGAGGUAUGGUUUUCAUUAGCACUUUUUGAAUCCCUUUAAAGUUUAAAAAUGUUAUUUUUCCGUUGUGCAUAGGAUUAAUUUAGAAAAUGCUUAGAAUAGUUAUGCAAGUUCCUAACCUGAUCUGAGCUUAGGAAAUGGAGAGAACCUAGUUUUUUCCCUUAAUGUUUGUGCUCCAAAGUGUUGAGAUAGUUUAGAGGGUGACAUGAUGAUUGACAUAAUACCUUAUGUGGAGAACCUAGUGAAUCCCUUCUCCAAGACAUUGAUAGGGAGAGUCUUUGUUAGUCACAUGGAUAGCAUAGGUUUUAAAUGAGUAUUUGGCAUGCUUUAAAGGCAUGAUGCUUUGAGGGCUAAUGGGAGAAUGUUAGGAUAAAGCCCUUAAAAGCAUGACAUGAUGUAAAAAAUUUGGAAUUCAUUAUUUAUUUAAUGAUGUUCUAGUUUCACUUUUAUCAAUCCUUAUUCCAUGUAUUAUACUUUAUGAGCAUUCUUAUUUGCAUUUUUUGCAUUGUACAUGACUUAAGUGCAUUAGGAGUUACAUAGAAGAUCUAAGUCAUGGGUUUCUUGCAAAUAAAUGACUUGUUCACAACUGAUUCAUGGGUCUAGGCAACCCACUAGAGGUUGUAGUGCAUCAUACCACCUUCUAAUUGGAGGGAUGACUAGUCUUAAUUAUCAGGAUGAGUUUCCCAUGGUGAGUGCAUUACUGUGUAUGGUUACACAUUAGACAAGACCUAUGGUGAGUCAUGACUUAAGGCUAUCAAGUAGUCAUGACCUUACCAACCAACUUCAUUGUGUUAUCUCUCAACCUUAAAAGAAUAUUCAGUUUAUACUAAAGUUAAUAAACUGAAGUUAGCAAUGGCUUUGACAUACGAGUGAGAUCAUAAGCUAAUCAUAUAUUCCCUAUGGAUUGGGUCAUUAUUGAUGGAAGGCGUGAAAGGCAGACGCCCGGGCACGCAAAGCCCGUCUCAACGAACGGGAGGAGAAAAGGCAAGAAGGAACUUUGCGGAAGGCUCUUGGUGAUAAACGCCCCGCAUCCCCUCCACCUGCUGGCGCACUAGAUAAAAAGAAGAAGAAGCAGGUUUUCAACAAGGGAAAAGAAAUAAAACUCUCAUCUCCCCCAAAGGAAGUUGUAAUACCACCUCCAACUUUCGUAAGAGGAAUAACAAUAAGAACGCCAGAUCUCUCCGUUUUGCCCUCUGUUUCAAGCGGCUCCAGACAUAUCGCGUAUCUAAAUGGAUCGGGGCCUUCAGUGCCAGUGCCAGCGGCUAGACGGCUGGCUCUUCUGGCUGAGGAAGCGACUUCAGUGAAUCAGCCCGACUCUCCUUAUCCGGACGCGAAUGUAGCCGGGGCCUCUUGUACUUAAACGUUGCUUCUUAUGGCGCCUUUAACGGAAGAAACAGGGGUUGAAAGUCAGGGUUUGCCUCAUUGCGAACCAAGCUUCCUUGCCCUUGUACCGGUGAAGGGGCCAGCUAUAAGGAGGUCUCAUCCGGCCCGUGAUUUAAAGUCUGGCAUUAGCGGGCGGCUUCAGGACAUUCUUCUGGAAACCAUCGAAGUCAGCUGCUCAUCCGCCCAGGAGGAUCAUCCGGAGGAGAGUGAGACGGAGAUGGCAGAAGAGAACCCAACCGCCCCGGUGCUGGUCCCGGAUGAGGGUUCACCCGAAGAGAUCCAGCCGGCCGUGAAUAAUGGGGCCCUAGAUCCGAGGGAGGAGUCACACCCUACCGCCUCGUCAAGGGGAAGUCUAGUUGAUGAUGCGGCUUGCAUCUCCGCUAGCCCUUUCAAUUAUGCGGAGUUGGGAGAGAUGCUGAAACGGAUUCCACCCGGCUCAGAUGUUGAUGUGCCUUCAGCAAAAAUGUUUGAAGUGGCGGAAAUGGUAUAGUUUUACUUCUUGAUUUUUCUUGCCAUACUGAUGUGUUUGUCACAUGGGUUGUAAUUUUGUACUUCUUGUUUGUGGGUUUUUCUGCAGCUGGUGAGCGGUAUUCGUGGCAUGGCUUAACAACAUGAUCUUUUUUCAGACCUGCUGCGUACUGCCGAUUAUAUGAAGGUCUUCGUCUCCCAUCGCAUAAACAGUAAAGAAGAACUGCGCUUGAGAUUGGAGCAGGCCGAAGCUAGUUUAUCCGCUGCCCGGAGGGCCUCUGAAGAGAGUGUCGAAGCUUUGAAGAAAUCCCAAGAGGACAACGAGGUUCUCCGGGUAGAGCUAGCUGAGCCAAAGAGUCGGGAGGAAUCUACAGACGCCCGUCUGCAUGAGGCGGAGGGUGAGAUGGCCCAGUUGAGGGGAGAAGUGAGGCAACUCCGGACAGAGGUGUCCAUUGAGAAAAAGCAGAGAGAGGACUUGCAGUUGCGUUUAUCAGCGCAAAAAGAAGAGUUCGAGGCUGAGUUUGCUGCGAAAAGGGAGGAACUCGAGACGAACUACCAGAAGUAGGUAGAUGAGAUGUAUAUCUUUGGCUACCGCUGUUGCAUGAAGAAGCAUGGCAUCAAACGGGACGUCCCUUCGAUUCCCCCGGGUGAGGAAGAAAAGUUGCGUCGCAAGCCCUCCCAAUGAGAGUUUUUCUUUUUUUAUCUUUUAUUGCUUUUUUCUUUUUGUAUUUUGUAGUCCGGAGAACCUUUUUUGUAUACAAUUUUCACAAGUAUUAAUAAAACAUACUCAUUCACAUUGUACUUGUAUCUUUCUUUCAUUAGUAAUACUGCUUUAAAUUGGACACAUUCCAUGGUCGGAGCAAUGGGGUUCCAUCUAGCUUUUGUAGAUGAUAGACUCCAUUUUCACUUGUCUUGGAUACUAUAUAGGGGCCUUCCCAAUUGGCUUGAAACUUUCCUGCUCCUGUCUCAACAGUGUUUUCGAAAACCUUCCUAAAGACCAGCAUUCCACUUUUGAAACUUCUGGGCCUUGCUUUGCGAUUGUAGUGAGCGGCUGCCCUUUGUUGAUAGUCUGCCAUCCGGAUGGAUGCGGUUUCUCUUACUUCGUCUGCCCAGUCCAAGUUUCUUCCUAACUUCGCACUUGCAUUAUCCUGACUUCCUGCCUCGGUCCGGAUAGUGGGUAGCCCUAUUUCAGUAAGAAUGACUGCGUCCAUACCGUAUGCGAGGGCGAAGGGAGUGUUUCCUGUCGGACGUCCGGGUGUGGUUCGAUAAGCCCACAGGACGCCGGGUAGCUCCUCUACCCAUUUCCCUUUGGCUUGCUCGAGCCUCUUCUUUAAGGCAGUUAUUAGGGUCUUGUUUGUGGCCUCUGCUUGUCCAUUGCUUUGAGGAUAACGCGGUGUGGAGUAUGCAUUUCGGAUGUUUAGUUCCGAAUAGAAAUCCCGAAAAGUUUUGCUAUCGAAUUGUGGACCGUUGUAGGCUAUAAUGGUUUGGGGGAUUCCAAAGCGGCAGAUGAUGUUCUUCCAUACGAACUUGGUGACAUCUUUGUCUUUGAUGCUAGCGUAUGCUUCUACUUCCACCCAUUUACUGAAGUAAUCCAUGGCGACGAGUAGGAAUUUUUUCUGGGCAGCUGCGGCUGGUAGGGGUCCUACUAUGUCCAUGCCCCACUGCGCGAAAGGCCAGGGACCUGAAAUUGGUUUCCACGUCUCCGACGGCACAUGUGGUAUGGGGACAUGCCUUUGACAUUUGUCACAUUUUUUUACGUAGGCUGCCGCAUCCUUUUUCAUCGUGGGCCAGUAAUACCCUUGCGAAUAGGCCCUGUGCGCCAGAGAUCGACCUCCAGAAUGAUUUCCACAUACUCCCUCGUGCAAUUCAGCUAAUACAUACAGGGCCUCUUAGUGGUUUAGGCACCGGAGAUAGGGACCUGUGAAGGACUGUUUAUACAAAUGCCCCCCAAUCAGGGUGAAACGGGCGGCUUGUAGCUUGUGUGUCUGCUUGGGCUCUUCGAGCAGAGUGCCUGUCUGGAGGUACCUUAUAAUGUCUUCCGUCCACUCUUGGCCGUCUGCUUGGUUUGCCUCAAUGGUAUUGCAAAUGGAAGCUUCUGUGACGGAAGGGUUGACUUGCACAUGUAUAGGCAACAAUAUGGCUUCUUUGAUGGGGAGGGAGGCAGCUAUGCCUGCCAGGGCGUCGACACGUCCAUUUUCAGCUCGUUUAAUUUUUUCGAUCGUCCAUUCGGUGAACCGUUGUAAGGUGUCCCUUACUUUAGUCAGAUACAGUGCCAUGCGCGCAUUCUUAGCUUCGUAUUCCUUUUGGACGUGCCUUACCACGAGUUGAGAAUCACUAUAGACCCGGAGCCUUGAGACGGAUAGAGCCAGGACGAGGUCCAAUCCGAAUAGAAUGGCCUUAUACUCCGCUUCAUUGUUAGAGACGGGAAACCCCAGCCGGAUGGCUUGCUCCAGAUGUUCUCCUGUUGGGGACUAUAGCAGGAGCCCUACUCCGGAUCCUGAUGAUCAGGAGGUUCCAUCGACCCGCAAAGUCCACCACUCUUUUUCACUUGGUUCCUUGUGCUGGGUAGGCUUUUGGGAGUAUUCCAGCACAAAGUCAGCCAUCACUUGACCUUUCAUGGACAACCUGGGUUGGAACUCAAUUCCAUAUUCGCUCAACUCUAUGGCCCAUUGAAGCAUUCUUCUGGUUAGGUCCGGCUUAUGCAAAAUGUUGCAAAGAGGUUGGUCUGUUAGCACGACCACCGGGUGGGCUUGGAAGUAAGGGCGGAGCUUCUAGGCGGCACUUCAAAGAGCUAAGGUCAUUAGCUCCAUCUUUGAAUACCUGGUUUCUACGUCCGUCAACGCUCUGCUGACGUAGUAGAUAGGUUUCUGCUCCUUAGGUGAGGAGCAGCAGAAUAGAACAACGCUAAUUGCUCACUCCGAUACAGCCAAAUACAUAUACAAUUUUUCUUCAGGGAGGGGGUUGCUUAGGAUGGGCGGUUGCAUGAGGCAGUGUUUAAUUUUUUUCAAAAGCGCUCUAACAGCUGUCUGUCCAUCCGCUUGCUCCAUUUUUUCAUAUUGCCAAGAAGAAAGGUCGCAGUUCAUCAAUGAAGCGGGCUAUAAAGCGUCCUAGCGCGACGAGCUUGCCUAUGAGGCGCUAUAAUUCCUUCUUGCUCCUGGGGGGUGGUGUUUCCAUGACUGCCUUGACUUGAUCCGGGCUGACCUCUAUCCCCCUUUGGCUGACCAUAAAUCCUAGGAAUUUGCCAGCACUUACGCCAAAGGCGUAUUUAGAAGGAUUCAACCUCAUGUCAUACUUCUUUAAGAGGUGGAAGACUUCUUGCAAGUGGAGGACAUGUUCCUCUCGGGUUUUGCUUUUAACCACGAUAUCGUCAAUAUAUACCUCUACUGUGCGGCUGACCAGAGGUUUGAAGAUCUUUGUCAUCAGUCUCUAAUAAGUGGCGCCAGCGUUUUUGAGUCCGAACGGCAUGACUUUGUAGCAAUAAAGGUCGUGUGGUGUUAUGAAGGCUGUCUUUUCUUCGUCAGCCAGGGACAUGGGGAUUUGGUGGUAUCCGGAGAAGGCGUCCAAGAAGGAAAGCAUCCCUUGCCCAGUAGUGGAGUCCACAAUUUGAUCUAUCCGUGGCAAAGGGAAACUGUCUUUUGGGCAUGCAUUAUUGAGGUUGGUGUAGUCGACGCACACCCGCCAUUUGCCUUCUUUUUUGGGUACCACCACUACAUUUGCCAACCAGUCCAGGUAAUCCACUUCUCUGAUGAAUCCGACUUCUAACAAAUUGUCAAUCUCAUUCCAGAUAAUUUUUUGUCUGUCCGGGUGAAAACGUCUAACCCUCUGUCAGACGAGUCUUGCUAUGGGCAAGACAUUAAGCUUAUGGGAGACGAUGGAGGGGUGAAUCCCCUUCAUAUCAUAAUGCGCCCAUGCGAAAAUGUCAUGGCUUUGUUGGAGGGCGUUUUGGAUGUUCCGGGUCUCUUCUAGAGUUAGGAGAGAACUGAUAUAUGUAAGGUGAGUAAGUACCUUCUUUCGAAAUUUGGAUCGCCUGCAAGGGAUCCGCUUCCGGGGGAUCUUUGUCUGUCAGACUCAAUAAUUGCUAUUGGUCACGUGCAUGGCUGGACUCAGGGAGGGAUGCAUCCUCCUGGCUGGUCUCUGCUUCUCGUGCUAUCUAGUAGCAUUGGUGAGCAGCUAACUGGCUGCCGUAUAAGUCAAUUUGCCCAUCCUUGGUAAGGAAGCUUACCAUUUGAUGAUAUGUAGAGGGGAUGGCUUUCAUGUAGUGCAGCCAUGUGCGCCCCAAGAUGACAUUGAAGGAUGAUAAGUCUUGUACCACCAAAAAUUGUACGUUGAGAAUGACUAGGUCAGCUUGGACCGGCAGUACAAUGUCUCCCAAUGAAGUAGUUGACGCCCCGUUGAAUCCGGACAAGAUUCGCCCAGGUUUUUCGAGGCCUGUGAGACUGUGCCCCAUGUGGCUAACGACCGAUGCUUGUACAAGAUCGGCCAAGCUGCACGGGUCAAUUAGGAUGCGUCGCACGUCGAAAUCUCCUAUCUCUAGGGACAGGAUGAGGGCGUCGCGGUGCGGCUGUAAUAUCCGGGUGGGGUCUACUGGUAGGAAAAUGAUUGUCCCAUCUAUGGGGCGAGGGCCCCCCCAGUUAUCCUAGGCCGGAUGGAGUUGACACACUCGCGCACCGAUGCUGGUCGCAACAACUUUUGUCUCUUUCGUUUGGAAUCGUACUCCUCGUCGGAUGGGCCUCCGUUAAUAUAGUUUAUAACGGCUUUAGAGGUGGUUGGGGCCCUAGGGGCUCCAGAGUUGUGAUUUCGAGAAGCGUCUUCACCUCUGGCAUCUGAGCGGAGGUAUUGCUUUAAAUGUCCCGCCUUUAUGAGCCUUUCGACCAAAUGAUGGAGACACCUGCACGCCUCCGUUGUGUGACCAUGCUCCUUAUGGAAGACACCUGAACUCUCCUCUGGGAUUCAGCAAUUUAUGAAUGUAUCUUUAGGCCCAUGUAGAUAAAUCCAUGCUUGGUGGUAGUAUGCUUAUUGAUGAUAGUCUAGAGAUGUGGAAAUCAAAUGAUUCUGAUGAACUAAAUUUGAUGCGUGAUGAGAUAGAUGACGUGUUAUCUAAGGAUCACAAAGUUCAUCAAUAGAAACUCGUUUGAUGAUGCGUCAAUCUGAUGGAGAGAAUCCGUUGAUAAAAAAUGAUGAAAUGCCAAUUUGAAGAUAAUGACUGCGAUUCAUCUCCGAAGAUGAAUCUAAUGAGAACGUUCAGGAUUCAGAAAUGGAGAGCUAUAAUGGCAGUGGUGAUUUGCAACAACAUCGAUCUCUGGUGGCAGUGACAGCAAACUCUAAUGGUGGUAAACUACGCCGACAGAGACAAUCUCCAUGAAUUGCGCAACAAACUUCAAUGGCGAUCUCCAGUGGUGGUGAUGAAUUCUCCUACAACAAUGAACUCUCAUUCUCCUGUAGAGAUGAACUCUCAGAUGUCGGUGAAUUAUUUUUAUAUAUUUUUUUAAUAAAUUUUAAAUGAAAUAAAAUAAAUAAAUAAAUUUUAAAUCAAUAAAUUAAUUUUAUAUAUUUUUUUAAACUCAUUUAACUUAUUUUAAAUUUUCAAUUAUAAAAUUAAAUAAUUUGAAAAUAUAUAAAUUUAUAACUAAUUUUAAUUAUAUUUUAUUUUCUUUUAUAAUUUUCAUAUAUAGUAUAACCAAUACCAAUGUUUUCAAAAUCAGACCGCUGCUUGAACCGGAAAAGUUACCGGUUCACGAUUCACGAUUCACGAUUCAUUAAUUGAACUGGUGGUCAAACCGUAGUCAAAUCAAUGACAUCAUAAAUAAUAAUUUUUUUCUUUUUUCUCACUAACUAAUCCCACAUCGGAAAUGGAUAAAAAAUAUGUAGGAAUUGUGGUAUAAAAGGCAAGCUAGAAUCAUUAACUUGCAAGACUAAAAGCUUAUUGGGCUUGAUGACAAACAAGUUGGAUGGGCUCCUCAUGGAGUGAUCCGGUUCUCUUAUGGUAUCAAAACCUUUUUUUUUUUGUUUUAAAAUAAAUAAAUAAAUAAAUUGUUCGGUUCGCUAAGAAUCGCCUGGUUGGGGCGGUUCACUAGCUCAACCACUGGUUUGAUGCCCAAACGGUUUUUUGGGUGGACCAAACUGGUUUUGUUACCGAUCGGACCAACUGGUCCGGUCCAAUUUUUAAAUCAUUAUCAAAUACAAUAAAAUAAUUUUUUUUAACAUUUUUUUUAUUUUUUUAGUACUUCUCAAAAAUCAAACAUAAUCAUAAGACUAAUCAUAUUUUUUAUCAUAAUAUCAUUCGAAGACAAUGCCCCAAGUGAGAAUCCCAAAACUUUUCAAUGUUUUACUAAUAUUAAGAUUUUGAAAAUCUAUACAAUUUAUUUUUCUUUUUCUUUUUUUAAUAUUUGGAUGAUAGUGCAUGAGUAUACAAGAAAGGUCAACGCAAAGAUCAAUGUCUACAAUCUUGAAAUUGCACUUCCAGAGUUGGGCCCUAAAAGAGAACCCAAUAAGGGGAAGGGGCAGCGUAUAAACCUUGUUCAAUGGGCAUGAAAACACCUUGGAGAAGGAAAGUCAUUCCUCUACCGGUUGACUAAUAAUUUGAUGGUAAUGACAGUAGUUCGGAUCAUUAACAUGACUCAUUUCUUCUAAACAUUUGCACUUAGGUAGCUCAAUAACUUUUUUAUGGAAUAGGUCUUCCAACAUGUUAGGCACAUCAGAGUCAGGAAAAUGAUAUUUCUUAUCCUUUAAUUCCUUCAAGGUGAAUCGACGCCUCUCAUUUUCCUAAAUUGGUCUAGUCUCUCUUACUUCCUUCUUUUUAUCUCGUGCUGAGAUUUUGAUGGGCGUUAUAUUUACUGUCAUUGACUUGUGGAUGGGUUUUAUUGAGGCCCGAUCACUUGUUUUCUCAUCAUGUCUCUCUCUUUACCGAUCAACAAUUAAUAAGGUCUUUUUUAGCACCAUGGUUAGCUAUGUUGAGCUUCAUGUCAUGUGCUCAAGUAGUUAACUGUUCAAAAAUGUGAGGUCAUAUCCCUUAGAGGAUGUACAAAACACCCCAAUGCAUUCCUUGUAUGCACAUUUCCAUGGCUGAUACAUCAAAUAAUCUAUCUUUGUAGUCGAAACUUAAAGAACGCCAAUGAUUGACGUAGUUUACGACCGGCUCAUAUUUCCAUUGCUUAGUAUUAGUAAGCUCCAUCAUGCUUACAGUCCGUCGGGUGCUAUAGAAAUGGUUGAGGAAUUUGCAUUCCAUUUGGCUCUAACUAUCGAUACACUUAGGUGUAAGGUCUAUGUACUAAUGAAAGCAUUCCCUCAAAAGGAACGAACAAAUUGUUUAACUAACAAGUCACUAUGUGCACUUGCAUUGUUAGAAGUUUUAACGAAAUGACAUGUUGUUUUGGAUUUCUCUUCCCAUAAAAUGAUUGAAACUUUGGAGGUUGAUAACCUACAAGCAUACAUAGGUUAUCAAUCCUCUUAGUGUAAGGUUUAGAGUACAUAAGUGUACUCUGUGAGGGUCCAUCGUACCGCACUCUAAUGGUGUUAGUUAUUAUGUCUUGAAGUUGCUAGACAGAUAACAACUCCAUCGAGGCAAAUUCCAUCAUUUUUCUUUCGACUUGCACUGUUCUAGAUGCAUGUGGUGCAUCAUCGAGAAGAGAUGCAACAUUCAAAAGGUGGUUAAGUCUUUAACUUGACUCACUUGUAUUUUGUACUUGUGCCUCAACCUUGUUUAUGAGAGAGGCUAUCUGCAUAUCAUUCUCCUCGACUAUCGUAGUGAAUUUGGUAAUGGUGUCAGUCAUCUCUACCAAUUGUUCCUCUAUAGAUGUAGUACCAACUGUCAUUACCGGCAUAGUCAUUGAGAUGAGAAAAAUAAAAUAGUCGAAAUGAUUGGAGUAGUUUUCCUCAUUCGACAUUCCAAUUGGUGAUUCGGAGUGUGAGCUGGUGCUAGAGUUAAUAUUGGUAAUAAAGCAAGGAGACUCAUCCCGAAAGUCCUUUAGUGCUAAAGAGAGUUUUCCCCUACUAUGAGGAUUGUGGCUCUUUGCCCCUAAGGAGGCCAAAGUGAUGAAUGGUUGGUGUUCAUCAUGUGUCCUUACCGAUUUUAGUAGACAAGUAGACCUAUUUAUUUCGUUGAAAGUGAAGAUGUUGAUUUUGAUUUGCUACGAGUCAUGGGACCCAUAGCAGUGUUGUGUGUUGAUUAUGCAAUGAUGAUCUUGUCAUUGUCCUUGUUGACAUGCACAACUUGAGUUCUUUUGGAUAUCAUCAACGUAGUAGAGAUCAAUCUUCUAACAAAAGAUAUGAGAGGCAGAGAGAUCCCAUCAAACAUGCUAGAAAUUUGUAUGCACAAAUUUCAUAAAGGUCCUGCAAAAUUAGCAAAACAAUACGAAAAUAAUGUGAACAAAAUAUUUAUCAAAAUUAAAAAUAUUGUGGUAUAAUAUAAAAAAUAAUACUCUUUACAAAACAAUAUUUUUUUCUCUAAUUUUUUUUGCCUUGAUCACAAUUUGAAAGACGACAAUGUCGUUUUCUUAUUUUGAAGAUUAAUUGAGGGCCACAAGUGACUUAUUCCUAAAUGAACACGUUGAAUGAUGAAGAACGCAUGUAGCAAUUCUAUCAUUUGCCGAACCUAUAGGGAGAUUCGAUGAUUUUUUUUUUUUUUUUUUUUUGUAAAGCCUUUUUUCCCAUACAAAGUUACCUCUAGAUUUUCUUCUUUAGGAUUUUCUUUUCUAGAUUUUUCUAAUUUUUGAGUUUCUCCCAUUUCUUGAAAGAAUUCACCUCUAUUUAUAGGUGAAGGUAGGAAAUUCGAAUUUUGAAUUCCCAAAUUUUAGUUGCUUAAUUCAAGGAAUUUAGUUAACUUUUCUUCUUGAGAAGGUUUCUCAUGAUGAUGAUGAUGAUAAUAAUAAUAAUAAUAAUAAUAAUAAUAUUUUUUUAAUUAUCAUUAUUAUUAUAUUUUCGAUUUUUUUAGGAAACUUAUUCGUAAUAGGAUAUUUAUUUAUUUAUUUAUUUUGAAUAUCAAAUUAGUGGUAAUUAAUCCACUAAAAUUUUUAUGUCUACAUCCUUAUCCACAAGUGUAGAGACAAAUAUGUCGUAAGUAAAUAAACUAUGAAUGACUUCAUUUGAGCUUAAAAUAAUAAAUUAAGCAAAUAAGCAUGUAGUAAAAUUAGAACUUACGACCCUCCUACUAAAUAAAGCUCUAAUAAUAUGUUGGAUAAUUGAUUUUUUUAAAAGCUUAAACUUAAGAUUUGCAUCCCGAUGGAUGUGCAUCAUGUUUUCUAAUAAUAUAUCACAUACUUUUCUAGAUUUUAUGUUAGACUUGUGAUUACUUCUCUAAAUUAAUUUUUCAGCAUAUUGUAUAUAUGCAUUUGUUAGGAUGAAUCAAUUAUCAAUCAAUGCAGAAAUACAAGUACUCCUCAUAGAGCCUCUCUACUUAUUUCCACUACAACAGCUUAGUUGGUUGAACUUAAAAGAAUUCCUAAGUGCUUUCACAAAUGUUUUGAACUUCAAACCUGCACAAAGAUGGAAACCAUAUCAUUGAAAUAAUUAAAACAAAUCAACUGAAAUCAAACUGCUAUUGCCUUGUUUAAAAAUUUAAAGAAAAAAACAAAAAAAAAAUCAUGGGCUUUUACGCAAAACUUAACAGUAGGGUUCCCAAAGUUCAUUAUUCAGAAUACUAACAAGUGUCAUGUAUCAGUUCAACUCGGCACCUUCUUCCAUAAAUAAAUUAUAUUUGCUUUGGAAGAAAACUUGAGUUUUGAACAAAUAUAAUAUAUUUGAAAAAAAAAUCCAUAAAAUGGAUCUUCAAUCAAAAUAAUUCUCAAAAUAGUGUAUUUGUACUUGGGCAUCCAAAUAGUUUGAGAAUAUUUUUUAUGUGAUAAAAUCCUAAUUGAUAACUAUGAUUUUAAUUUAUUUUUUUUAAAUAUAAAACCGCUGUUGGUAAUUAUAGUUUUAACCAUUUUAAAAGAAAAUUCAAAAUCAUAAUUAACAACUAUAGUUUUAUAAGGUGGAUAUGUUAGCUCUUUUCUUAUAAUGUGUGAUCAUAUAUAAUUAUAUUUGUGUAAAUAUUAUUUAAGAGUAUCAAUUGAUAGAUAGGUGAAUCAAUUGAUUGGGCAUUCAAGAGUCUUAUGUAUGGAAGACUCAAAUUAUAAAUGGGGAGUUAGAAAAUUUAAUUUAUAUGAAUGUGGUGUUUAUAACCCCAUCAUUAUGAAAUUUAUUUUGUACAUUAUAUUUAUGAGUAAUAGAGGAAAAUGAAAAACUAUAACCUAUGCAUUUAUAUAAAUGCAUUCAAGUUCAUAACUCACCAUUACCCAUUAAUUUGUACAUAAUAGGUGUAAAUAAUGAGUAUAACUCUCGUAUAAUCUUUUAUAAGAAGACUAAGAGAUGUACAACUUUUUAUAAGUUAAGGUCUCAAGUCACAUUCUCAUUCUUAUGUCAUUUUGUUGUUUUAUUUUUUAACAACAUACACCACAUAAGUGACUCAUCCACUAUAUGAGAGUAGUGAGUUGAAGACUUUGACAAUACAAUUCACAAAAUGAUUCAAUUUCACUUCAAAAAUGAUAUUGAUAUUAUGGAUCAAGGUAAGAAUAUGAUCAUUAUUUUAAUAUUUAUAUUUAUUUUGUUUUAUGCAUUCAAAAUUAUUUUUUUUUAAAUAAUGAUUUCCACAUAAAGUUUAUAAAAGUUUAGUUAACAGGAAACCCAUGUGGAUGAGAUGCACUAAAAUUAUUCUGAGAUGGAAUCUAACCUGUGGAAUUUUUUUUAAAUAAAUUAUUUUUGUUCAAAACUUAGAAAAAAAAACUUGUUGAAAACUAAAUUCAACUAUACACUUUCGUAUUUUUCUUUUUAUAAGAUCAAAUCCACGUUAUCACUUUUCCACUAGAAUCCUCAUGAUUAAUUGUAGAAUUCUUGAGAUGAAAUGAAAUGGUUGUUGAAACUUCAGUUUUCAAUCUUGAUCAAUGUUGUCCCUUCCCUUAGCUGUGCAUUAUUCCAAUGCCAGUUUUUCUCCACAAACUUAGUCCAGAGACAAGAUUAGAUUCCGUGUGGAACCAUUCAUGUGUGGAUCCCGUUGUGAGACUUGACCAUCAAUAUCCUUCUCUCCAUUUGUGGGGUACUGCCCACGUGACCACUGCUUUGGAAAUUUGAGUAACACACCUAAAUUCUCAAAGACCCAAAACUACAGAUUUCUGCUUCAUCUUUCUCCUCAUUCAUGUGCACCUUUUCAAAGUAUUCAGUGGAGAUUGGCCCCAUCAGUCACGUUUUCCAUAAUGCAUGGUUACGUCACCAUCCAUUUGCUAAGUUGUCAUGCCUUUUUUCUACACCAACUCAGAAACCCCACCCGGCUGGUAUGGUUUUCAUUUUUUAUUUAUUUAUUUUUUUUAACCAAUAUAAAUAAGGCAUGAACCCAUCCAUUUUCAUAUCUGUACCUAAUGUUAAUAUUAAGUGAUUCUACUUAAAAAUACUUUUAGUUUAUAUUAUUAUUAUCUGUAAUACUUUUAUUAUUUAGAGAUAAUUACUUAAUAUUUAAAUAUAUAAAUAAGAAAAAAAAUUCAAAAAAACAUCCAUCAAUAUAUAAUAUAACAAAUUAUUGUCUUUAAAACCUAAUUUUUAGCAUAAAAAAAAGGUAUUUUAUCUCACUCAAAGUUACUCCCAAAUCAACUCUUAAGGAUUGUUUGAAAUUGCAAAUUUAACUUUUAUAUUGAUAAAUAAAAGAGGUAAAAGUAAUUGUUAUGUUUGAAAAUUAUAUGUCAAAAAUAUUGUUAUUAAAGAGAAAGAUAAUUUUGAAAUUUUUAGUUAAAUAAAAAUUUUCUAAAAUAUAUAUAUAUAUAUAUAUAUAUAUAUAUAUAUAUAUAUAUAUAUAUAUAUAUAUAUUUAAUGCAUAUGAAUUUCUAUUCACAUCCAAUUAUGAUCUAAUAUUCUUAUAUAAAACCUCAUUCAAUUUAACAUGAGUAUAAUUACUUAUUUUAUUAUUUAUUAAUAUAUAUUAUAAUUAAUUAAUUAAUUUAUUUAUUUUAAAAAAAAAAACUAUGAAUGAUUGAUAUUUCCAUAAAAUCAAAACGUGAUGUAGACUAAUUGGUGCCUAGCGUUGACCCAAAGUCAAGUCUUUUCUCUAGUGUGGCAUUUUACACAUUUAUUUAUGAUUACCAAGACUUGGAAAAGCAACAUUAGGAAUUGGUGUUCCCCAAUUUUUUGUCAUCAGGUUUAAAAGAUAAAAUAGAGGGUAAGACAUGGAUUUAAAUUUUAUAAUCAGAUUAAAAAACCGAAAACAAUAUCUAUAAUCAAACAAUUUCACAUGUGUUUUGAAGUUUUAUUGUUUUAUUUAUUUAUAGAUUGAUUCAACAACCUAAAUUUUAUUAUAUAUAUUUAAUGAUUUAGAUUUUUUAUUUUAUAUGUAUAUUCUCUCUCUUAACAUUUUCUCAAAUUCCAUCAAUUCAUGAGUUUCCAAGAAGUAUCCCCUACUCCACUCCAUGAAACAUAUCUUGAAAAUGAAGUUGUCCCUUAGAAUAAAAUAUCUAUCCUCAAGACUUAAGACCUCAAACCUAAAGCUAAGGAUAGACCUCCAACCACCAUCUGGAGGACAUUAAUUAGUCUUGUUUUCUUAAUUUUUAUUUUCCAACCCCACUUUAACAACCGAAAAGAUUUACUUGUCUUUAUUUAUGAUUUAAAAAUAAAUAAAUUCAACUUUAUAUUAACUUGACUUUCAAAUAUACUAUUUAACCGUUGGUUUUCAUCUUUCCCACCCAUCUUCCUCCCAACUCAUAGAGAAGCGGUAAGGAACUCAAUGUCACCAAAAUGCGGAAACCACCAUUUUUAUUUACCAAAAUUCCAUUCCCCGCUCUAUUUCUCCUCCUCGUCUUCUCCUUAACCUUUCAAGUAAUUUCCCAAAAUCUAGAUGCUGAACGAUCAAUCCUACUAGACGUUAAACAACAACUGGGCAAUCCACCGUCACUCCAAUCGUGGAAUUCCUCAUCCUCGCCCUGUGAUUGGCCGGAAAUUACAUGCAUCGACAAUAUCGUCACUGAAAUUUCACUCAGCUACAAGACCAUCACAAAGAAAAUUCCGGCCAGAAUUUGUGACCUCAAGAACCUAAUCGUACUUGACGUCUCCUACAAUUACAUUCCAGGCGAGUUCCCGGAUAUUCUCAAUUGCUCUAAGCUCGAAUAUCUCCUCUUGUUGCAAAACUCCUUCGUGGGUCCAAUUCCAGCUGAUAUUGAUCGACUUUCACGUCUCCGAUACCUAGACCUCACCGCAAACAACUUCUCUGGAGAUAUUCCCGUAGCAAUUGGGCGGCUACGGGAGCUGUUCUACUUGUUUCUGGUUCAAAAUGAGUUCAACGGCACCUGGCCAACGGAGAUUGGUAAUUUGUCAAAUCUUGAACAAUUGGCCAUGGCCUAUAAUGACAAAUUCCGGCCUUCAGCCCUUCCAAAGGAGUUUGGCGCAUUGAAGAAGCUGAAGUAUCUGUGGAUGACGAAGGCAAAUUUGAUGGGCGAAAUACCGGAGAGCUUCAACAAUCUAUCGAGUCUGGAACUCUUGGACCUCUCAAACAACAAAUUGGAAGGUACGAUCCCGGGAGGCAUGCUUACAUUGAAGAAUUUGAACUAUUUUCUUUUAUUCAUUAAUAGAUUGUCCGGCCACAUUCCUUCAUCCAUAGAAGCUCUCAACUUGAAAGAAAUUGAUCUUUCCGACAACCAUUUGACGGGGUCCAUACCAGCGGGUUUCGGGAAGCUACAAAAUUUGACGGGUUUGAAUCUUUUCUGGAAUCAGUUGUCAGGAGAGAUACCAGCAAAUAUAAGCCUCAUUCCUACACUUGAAACUUUCAAAGUUUUUAGCAAUCAAUUGAGUGGAGUUUUACCUCCAGCAUUUGGCCUUCAUUCGGAGCUCAAACUCUUUGAGGUUUCCGAGAAUAAACUAAGCGGGGAAUUACCUCAACAUUUAUGCGCUAGGGGGACUUUGCUUGGAGUGGUCGCUUCCAACAACAAUCUCAGCGGGGAAGUGCCCACGUCCCUCGGGAAUUGCACAAGUUUGCUCACCAUUCAACUUUCCAACAAUCGUUUUUCAGGCGGGAUUCCUUCCGGCAUCUGGACAUCCCCGGACAUGGUAUCGGUGAUGUUAGAUGGAAAUUCAUUCUCAGGGACACUUCCAAGUAAAUUGGCAAGGAAUUUGUCUAGAGUGGAGAUCGCUAACAACAAGUUUUAUGGUCCAAUUCCUGCUGAAAUCUCUUCCUGGAUGAACAUCUCUGUGCUCAAUGCCAGCAACAAUAUGUUGUCUGGAAAAAUUCCAGUGGAAUUGACCAGUCUUUGGAACAUCACUGUUCUGUUGCUUGAUGGGAAUCAAUUCUCGGGUGAACUUCCAUCCCAGAUCAUCUCAUGGAAGUCGCUCAAUAAGUUAAAUCUCUCAAGAAACAAACUUUCUGGCCUAAUUCCCAAGGCAUUAGGUUCUUUAACUAGCCUUAGUUACCUCGACCUGUCAGAAAACCAGUUCUCAGGUCAAAUUCCUCCUGAACUUGGCCAUUUGAACCUUAUUAUCCUCCAUCUUUCGUCCAACCAACUGUCUGGGAUGGUCCCCAUUGAGUUUCAACAUGAAGCAUAUGAAGACAGUUUCUUGAACAAUCCCAAGUUGUGUGUCAAUGUUCCCACUUUGAACCUCCCUAGAUGUGAUGCCAAACCCGUCAACUCCGACAAAUUGUCAACCAAAUAUCUCGUUUUCGCUCUAUCUGGUUUCCUAGCUGUUGUUUUCGUCACCCUGUCCAUGGUUCAUGUCUAUCAUAGGAAGAAUCACAAUCAGGAGCAUACAGCUUGGAAAUUUACUCCAUACCAUAAACUAGAUCUCGAUGAAUACAACAUAUUGUCCAGUUUGACAGAAAAUAAUCUGAUCGGAUGUGGUGGGUCAGGGAAAGUAUACCGAGUUGCUAAUAACCGUUCUGGUGAACUCUUAGCGGUUAAAAUGAUUUGUAAUAAUAGGAGAUUGGAUCAAAAGCUUCAGAAACAAUUCGAAACAGAAGUCAAGAUAUUGAGCACCAUACGCCAUGCCAAUAUAGUGAAGUUGUUGUGCUGCAUAUCAAAUGAAACCUCAAGUCUUCUUGUUUACGAGUACAUGCAGAAGCAGAGUUUGGAUAGAUGGCUUCAUGGGAAGAAGCAGAGAACAUCGUCCAUGACAAGUUCAGUUCAUAACUUUGUCUUGGAUUGGCCAACAAGGUUGCAGAUUGCUAUCGGAGCUGCAAAAGGCCUAUGCCACAUGCAUGAAAACUGCUCUGCCCCGAUCAUACAUCGAGAUGUGAAGUCCAGCAACAUCUUGCUAGAUGCCGAGUUCAACGCGAAAAUUGCAGAUUUUGGAUUGGCCAAGAUGUUGGUCAAGCAAGGAGAGCCAGACACCAUGUCAGGAAUUGCAGGCUCUUACGGAUAUAUUGCCCCUGGUAAGACCAUCAAGGCCCUCCUUUCCAAAUGUUUUCAUUUCCAUAAUUUAUCGAUAAGUUGUAUCAUACCAUUCUUGUAUACUUGGAUGAUAGAGUAUGCUUAUACAACAAAGGUGAACAAGAAGAUCGAUGUAUAUAGCUUUGGAGUAGUCUUGCUUGAGCUUGUGACGGGGAGAGAACCCAACAAUGGGGACGAGCACGUGUGCCUUGCAGAAUGGGCAUGGGAUCAGUUCAGAGAAGAGAAAACCAUUGAGGAAGUGAUGGAUGAGGAGAUCAAGGAAGAAUGUGAUAGAGCACAAGUGGCCACUCUCUUCAAACUAGGCAUUAGGUGCACUAACAAAUUACCAUCCAAUAGGCCCACAAUGAAAGGGGUUUUGAAAAUUCUUCAACAGUGCAGUCCUCAAGAGGGCCAUGGAAGAAAUAAAAAGGACCAUGAAGUUGCACCUCCACUUCGAAAUGACACUUACCCCACCACUUACAAGUUGUGAGGAUAAAGCCCUUAAAAACAUGAUAUGAUGUAAUAAAUUUGGAAGUCAUUAUUUAUUUAAUGAUGUUCCGAUUUCACUUUUAUCUAUCCUUAUUCCAUAUAUUAUACUUUAUGAGCAUUCUUGCCUGCAUCUUUUGCAUUGCACGUAACUUAGGUGCAUUAAGAGUUGCACAGAAGAUCUAGGUCAUGGGUUCCUUGCAAAUAUAUGACUUGUUCACAACCAGUUCAUGGGUCUAGGAAGCCCAUUAGGGGUUGUAAUAAUCCACUUCCUAAUUGGAAGAAUGGCUAGUCUUAGCUAUUGGGAUGAGUUUCCCAUGGUAAGUGCAUUAGUGUGUAUGAUUACAUAUUGGACAUGACCUAUGGUGAAUCAUGAAUUAAGGUUAUCAAGCAGUCAUGACCUCAUCAAACUACUUCAUUAUAUUGUCUCUCAACCUUGAGAGAAUAUCGAGCUCGUACUAAAGUUAGCAAUGACUUUGACAUACGAGUGAGAUCGUAAGUUGAUCAUAUAUUCCCUAUGGAUUGAGUCAUUGUUGAUGGAAAAUGGUAGCAAUAGGUAUUUUCAAUAAAAACACCAUGAUGUCUCUUGGGAUUAAGACAAUGUGCCCCUUUUGGUGAUCCUAAAGAGGUGUGUUUAUGGAAACUAUGGUCAUAGUAGUUCCUUAAGUAAAACUCGACAUAGGCUCUUUGAGAGCUAAGACAUGUCAAUUGAAUACACAAUAGAAGGAUUUAUAACUCAAGGAUGGUAGAGGUAGUCUUGAAAGACUAAUAACUUUUACUUUGUUAGACUAUGAAUAUCAGUUCAUGGGAAGACUAAACACAAUAAAUAGCAAGUCACAAACCUGAACAUUUGGUAUCUCAUUGUUAUUUUCAAUAAAAUAACAAUGAGAUGGUAAGUUGAUCAUAUAUACCCUAUGGAUUGGGUUAUUGUUGAUGGAAGAUGGUAGCAAUAGGUAUUUUCAAUAAGCACCAUAAUAUCUCUUGGGAUUAAGAUAGUGUGCCCCCUUGGGUAAUCUUAAAAAGUGUGUUCAUGGAAACUAUGGUCAUAGUAAUUCAUUAAGUAAAACUCAACAUAGGCUCUUUGAGAGCUAAGACAUGUCAAUUGAAUACACAAUGGAGGAUUUAUAACUCAAGGAUGAUAGAGGUAGCCUUGAAAGACUAAUAACUUUCACUUUGUUAGACUACGAACAUCAGUUCAUGGGGAGACUAAACACAAUAAAUAGCAAGUCACAAGCUCGAGCAUUUGGUAUCUCGUUGUUAUUUACAUAAGAUACGGGAGUUCAAUUGAUUCUCUGUAGUGGGAUGUUGAAUCAACUUUAGAAUUGGAUUUUGAGAGAGUCGGUAUUCUUAUGGGUUCCAAUGGUCCUUGCUCUAAGCUUAUAUACUUUGUUGGCAUGGGUUAUAAGAGUCGGAUUGACUCUAGGUUCACUUUUGUACAUAAAGGCAUUUUGAUAAUUACACAAGGUUACACAAAGGUAAGUGAACAAGGUUUUUAAAUUGGGUUAAUUGAUUAAUUAGUAGGCCUUGUUUAGUUAAUUAAUCAAUUAGGACUUUUUUUGGGCUAUAUUAAGUGACCUAAGCCCUUAGUGGGCUCAAGUCACUUAAACCUAAUAGAAAACCCUUUAAAUACCCCCUUAAGGGUUAGAGUUUAUAUAGUUUUUCUAAAGAGCCAUCUUCUAUCUCUAGAGAGAAAGAGAAAGAGUCAUAGCGUCCACCCUCCCUUCUAUCUCCACUAAAAGUGUGUCAAGAUCAAGGUUCAAGUCAUUGGGAGGAAGACUUUGGAUUUACGAGACUUCUGUGAUUUCGUUCUUCAUUUUCACCACGUGGAUUUGAUUUGAGAACAUACGAAUUUGAGGUAUGGUUUUCAUUAGCACUUUCUGAAUCCCUUUAAAGUUUAAAAAUGUUAUUUUUCCGUUGUGUAUAGGAUUAAUUUAGAAAAUGCUUAGAAUAGUUAUGCAUGUUCGUAACCUGAUCUGAGCUUAGGAAAUGGAGAGAUCCUAGUUUUUUCCCUCAAUGUUUGUGCUCCAAAGUGUUGAGAUAGUUUAGAGGGUGACAUGAUGAUUAACAUAAUACCUUAUAUGGAGAACCUAGUGAAUCCCUUCUCCAAGACAUUGAUAGGGAGAGUCUUUGCUAGUCACAUGGAUAGCAUAGGUUUCAGAUGAGUAUUUGGCAUGCUUUAAAGGCAUGAUACUUUGAGGGCUAAUAGGAGAAUGUUAGGAUAAAGCCCUUAAAAACAUGACAUGAUGUAAUAAAUUUGGAAUUCAUUAUUUAUUUAAUGAUGUUUUAGUUUCACUUUUAUCAAUCCUUAUUCCAUGUAUUAUACUUUAUGAGCAUUCUUGUCUGCAUUUUGUGCAUUGUACAUGACUUAAUUGCAUUAGGAGUUAUAUAGAAGAUCUAAGUCAUGGGUUUCUUGCAAAUAAAUGACUUGUUCACAACUGAUUCAUGGGUCUAGGCAACCCACUAGAGGUUAUAGUGCACCAUACCACCUUCUAAUUGGAGGGAUGACUAGUCUUAAUUAUCAGGAUGAGUUUCCCAUUGUGAGUGCAUUACUGUGUAUGGUUACACAUUAGACAAAACCUACAGUGAGUCAUGGCUUAAGGCUAUCAAGUAGUCAUGUCCUUACCAACCAACUUCAUUAUGUCGUCUCUCAACUUUAAGAUAAUAUUGAGUUUAUACUAAAGUUAGCAAUGGCUUUGACCUACAGGUGAAAUCAUAAGCUAAUCAUUUGGGUCAUUGUUGAUGGAAGUCGGUAGCAAUAGGUAUUCUCAAUAGAAAUACCAUGAUAUCUCAUGGGAUUUAGACAGUGUGUCCCCUUGAGUAAUCUUAAGAAAGUGUGUUCAUACAAACUAUGACCAUAGUAGUUCCUUAAGUGGAACUUGACAUAGACUCUUUGACAACUAAGACAUGUCAAUUAAAUAUAUAAUUGGACGAUCUGUAACUCAAAGAUAGUAGAGGUAAUCUUUAAGGAUUGAUAACUUUCACUUUAUUAGACUACAGACACUAAUUCAUGGGGAGACUAAACAUAAUGGAUAGCAGGUCAUGGACCCGAGUACGUAAUAUCUCGUUGUUAUUUACAUAGGAUAUUGGAGUUCAAUUGAUUCUCUAUGGUGGAAUGUUGAAUCAACUUUAGAAUUGGAUUUUGAGGAAGUCAGUACUCCUAUGGGUCCCAAUAGUCCACACUCUAAGCUCAUAUAACCUAUUGACACGGAUUAUGAGGGUCGGAUUGGCUUUAGGUUCAUUUUUGUGUAUAAGGGCAUUUUGAUAAUUACACAAGGUUGCAUAAGGGUAAGUGGACAAGGUCUCUAAAUUGAACUAAUUGAUUAAUUAAUAGGCCUUAUUGGGUUAAUUAAUCAAUUAGGACCCAUUUUGAGUUAGAUUAAGUGACCCAAGCCCAUGUGGGCUCAAGUCACUUAAGCAUACUUAGGAACCCUAUAUAUACCCCCUAAGGUUUAGGGUUCCCACAACUUUUGUCCUCCACCUGUUAGGAUAGAGCCCUUAAAAGUAUAACAUGAUGUAAUAAAUUUGGGAUUCUUUAUUUAUUUAAUGAUGUUCUAGUUUCACAUUAUUUAUUUAAUGUGAAGACAUUUGGAACCCAUCUCUCCUUCACAGAUUUAUCCAAAAGUUGCAUGCUCUGACUCAAGUUUCCAUGCAUACACAACCCUCUGAAGUGAUCAUCAACUCCAUUACCUUAGUAGUUUUUUCCAUGUCAAGCAUACAGUUAGUUUUGAGAGCGAGACCCAUUUUCACUAUGAACUCAAUGACUGUGCUUCGAUCAACUAGUUUGGCAUUUUCAUUUCUUUAUGGCAACCAAAUUUGGACUAGAUCUAACACUUGGCAGGCCAAAGGGCAUGAAUCAAAAACAGAGGAAAGCGACGGAAAAAAAAAAAAAAAACAAAGCACAAAUGGUUGAAACAAAACGAACUAAUAAAAGCCACAUUUUAUGUUUCAAUCAACCGACUUAGAUGUAGGUGAGUGAAACUAAAAAGAUUUUAAACAAGAACACAAGUAUUAUUCAGACAUUCUAUAGGAAAGCUACAACAGAGAUAAAUCAUGCUCAAACAUAACCAAAGGAAAUGAGGCAUGAAUCAACUAUAACCAAAUCACAGAAACCAAGAGAUUAACAAUAACAAGUGUGUGUCCUACGAUUAUCCAGACCCAAAACAUGGAAAAUUUUAGAAUCUAAUUGAUAAAUGAAAGAAAAAAAUGGAAAAAAUGGAGAUGAAGAAAAUUAAAUACACAAUUUAAAGGACUGAGAACCUGACCUGAACUCUUCUCUAAGAUUUAGCAAUUUAUGAAUGUAUCUUCAGGCCCCUGUAGACGAAUCCAUGCUUGGUGGUAGUAUGCUUAUUGAUGACAGUCUGGAGAUGUGGAAAUCAAAUGAUUCUGAUGAACUAAAUUUGAUGCGUGAUGAGAUAGAUGACGUGUUAUCUAAGGAUCACAAAGUUCAUCAAUAGAAACUCGUUUGAUGAUGCGUCAAUCUGAUGGAGAGAAUUCGUUGAUAAAAAAUGAUGAAAUGCCAAUUUGAAGAUAGUGACUGCGAUUCAUCUCCGGAGAUGAAUCUAAUGAGAACGUUCAGGAGUCAUAAAUGGAGAGUGUAGGGACCCCUCCCCUUGGGAAACACGUGGCACGCAGCUCAUAGUGACGCGUGGCACGUGUUAUCAGCCGGACCGUCAUUAUCCGGAUUCCCCUAAGGAUAUGCAUGGUGCAGAUAUCCUAUCCGGACCGCCUCAAGGAAAGGCAAACGACGUUUCAUCUUCUCCUAUCCAAGGAAGAGCAAACGACGUUGGCAGAGCGUACACAUCCGGAUAGUCUCCACAACACAUCCGGAUAGUCAACAUGAGCCAUCCGGAUAUAAAUCUUCUGGAUGGUCAAUUAAAGUAAAGCGAGUCUUACACGCAAUCACAACAAGCAGCCAUGGCCCACAUCCCAUCACCUGCAGAAUGAGAAGACAAGAGGAAGUGACAGCAAGUCACUUCCCACGAUCAUUCUGCAUAAUCGCUUCCCACGAUCUCUGACGGCCGCAUCACCUACCAUAGUCUCUGACAGCCAUUCAUAGGAUGAUAGUGCUCCUACUAACACCUAUUGUCAUCAUCACAACAGAAAAGAUCUCCUCACCAUUAAUGAGAGGAACAGUACCCCUGAAGCUGGAUAUAUAUACCUUCGCACGAAGAAGAAAGGGGAUCUCCUGGUAAUCUCUUGAUACCUAGAAAAAGGCCAACUGAUUUAUAUAUCUCUUUCUCACCAUGGCUAACAAAACCAUCGGAGGGUGCGUCCGGACACCCUGUCCGAAUGCCUUUUGCAGGUGCAACCACUGAAUCAAGAACCCCUUGUGUGUUGAGAAUCACGUAUCCAUCCAUAUAGCAGCAACGUGGACCAUCGGAUACGCGAGGUGACAACAGAGAGCUCUAAUGGCGGUGGUGAUUUGCAGCAAUGUCAAUCUCUGGUGGCAGUGACAGCAAGCUCUAAUGGUGGUAAACUACGCCAACAGAGACAAUCUCCAUGAAUUGCACAACAAACUUCAAUGGCGAUCUCCAAUGGUGGUGAUGAAUUCUCCUACAACAAUGAACUCUCAUUCUCCUGUAGAGAUGAACUCUCAGAUGUUGGUGAAUUAUUUUUAUAUAUUUUUUUAAUAAAUUUUAAAUGAAAUAAAAUAAAUAAAUUUUAAAUUUUUAUACAUUUUUUUAAACUCAUUUAACUUAUUUUAAUUUUUCAAUUAUAAAAUUAAAUAAUUUGAAAAUAUAUAAAUUUCUAACUAAUUUUAAUUAUAUUUUAUUUUCUUUUAUAAUUUUCAUAUAUAGUAUAACCAGUACCAAUGUUUUCAAAAUCAGACCGGCGCUUGAACCAGAAAAGUUACCAGUUCAUGAUUUACGGUUCAUUAGUUGAACUGGUGGUCAAACCGCGGUCGAAUCAAUGACAUCAUAAAUAAUAAUUUUUUUUCUUUUUUCUCACUAACUAAUCCCACAUCAGAAAUGGAUAAAAAAUAUGUAGGAAUUGUGGUAUAAAAGGCAAGCUAGAAUCAUUAACUUGCAAGACUAAAAGCUUAUUGGGCUUGAUGACAAACGGGUUGGAUGGGCUCCUCAUGGAAUGAUCCGGUUCUCUUAUGGUAUCAAAACUUUUUUUUUUGGCUUUAAAAUAAAUAAAUAAAUAAACUGUUCGGUUCGCUAAGAAUCGCCCGAUUGGGGCAGUUCACUAGUUCAACCGCUGGUUUUGUUACCGAUCGGACCAACUGGUCCAGUCCGAUUUUUAAAUCAUUAUCAAAUACAAUAAAAUAAUUUUCCUUAACAUUUCUUUUAUUUUUUUAAGUACUUCUCAAGAAUCAAACAUAAUCAUAAGACUAAUCAUAUUUUUUAUUAUAAGAUCAUUCGAAUACAAUGCCCCAAGUGAGAAUCUCAAAACGUUUGUCAAUGUUUUACUAAUAUUAAGAUUUUGAAAAUCUAUACAAUUUCUUUUUCUUUUUUUCUUUUUUUAAUAUUUGGAUGAUAGAGCAUGAGUAUACAAGAAAGGUCAAUGCAAAGAUCAAUGUCUACAAUCUUGAAAUUGCACUUCUAGAGUUGGGCCCUAAAAGAGAACCCAAUAGGGGGGAGGGGUAGCAUAUAAACCUUCCUCAAUGGGCAUGGCAACACCUUGGAGAAGGAAAGUUAUAAGUGAAAGCACUGGAUGAGGAGAUCAUGGCACAAUGCUACUUCAAAAAAAUGAGUACUAUGUUCCCAAUAAUCAAACUUUAUCAUGAAAAUGUUGAUAAUAGCGAGGAUUAUCUUAUUUACAAGUAUAGAGACAAAUAGGCAAAAGGUAAAUAAAUUAUUAAUAGAGCUUAAAAUAAUAAAUUAAGCAAAUAAACAUAUGGUAAGAUCGAAACUCAUUAUCCUUCUACUAAAUAAAAUUCUAAUACCAUAUUGGAUAACUAAAUUUUUUAAGAACUUAAACUUAAGAUUUGGAUCCUUAUGAUUGUAUAUCACAUUUUCUAAUAAUAUAUCAAAUACUUUUCUAGAUUUUGUGUUGACUUGUGAUUACUUCUCUAAAUCAAUUUUUCAGCAUCUUGUAUAUAUGUAUUUGUUAGGAUGAAUCUGUCACGCCCCAAGACCCACUCCAAGGGCGUGACGGUCAUUUCACACCUCAAACCCGAAGGCUUAAAGUAUAAUCUGACCCAAACAAUCAUAUUGUAACUGGAUGUUACCAAUUACCAAAUACCUGUUCAGAGUAGCGGAACAAAAUCUAAAAUCCUCAAAAUUCAAUUUCCAAAUAACUUCCAAAUAUCAAAUGAUCCAAAUGAACAUAACUAACAGUUAAACAAAAUCCAACAUAAAAUCCUAAGUCAAAUCCUAAUGAUGACCAUUCCUCAGCCUAGCCAUCACUCCUCACCCGAACUAAGAGUACCUGAAAAAUUUUCAACAAUUGGGAAUGAGCUCACAGCCCAAUAAGGAAUAUUAAUGCAAUUCAUGGAUCAAAUAUUUUCAUUUCAAAUAGGAGAUAUCAAUUUUUUUUUUUCUCAUCGAAUAUCAGAGUUUCAAAAAUACCAAUAUAUUCAAAAUUCAACCAACCAAUUUCAUAUCAAAUUCAAACACUUUCACAUCAGACUCAAUCAAAUCCAUUCAAUUUUUUCAUUACUCUGGUUAUCAAAUAUCAAAUGCCCAGUUAGGUGGGACUUUUCAAAUGGGUGGCUAGCCUCAAAUUGUUCCUGGUGGACGAAACCAAACACUACUAGUACUAGUAACCUCUAACCAAACCCCUAGAGGCUGGGGUCCAAAUCAAUUACAUUCCCACCAUGAAAUGUAAAGGUCAACUAUUAUAGCCCGUUGACAGGGCCGAAUAGUCAACUAUUAUAUCCCGUUGACAAGGGCCAAACAAACCAGAGUGAUGUUUUUGUUCAAGUAUUCAAAUUUACACAACAUAAUAUCUCCAUAUUUUGUGUCAUAAAUAAAACAAAAUAUUCCAACAUAAUAUUCAGUGCAAAACAAUUUGAUCCAUGCAUGGUAACAAAAUAUCAUUUUCUUUUCCACAAUUCAAAAUAACAUAUAAAAUAAUUUAAUUUUAUAAAUAUUGCAUUAACUUCCCUUACCUCAAAAGAAGUCCUUGAAAGCUUGGGAGAAGAAUAAUUCUGAAAAAAAUAUAAUCUACUCUUCACCUAAUAUAACAUAAGAGAAACAAUUAUUACUAUUUAUUUAUAAUUUAACUAAUUUAUUCCUUAUUUAAAUAAAACUAAUAAAUUCCCAAUUUGUUUCUAAUAACACACUACUAAUUUAAUUAAAUUACAAUUUUAUUUCAUUAUAAAAUUCUAUAUAUAUAUAUAUAUAUAUAUAUAUAUAUAUAUAUAUAUAUAUAUAUAUAUUGCUAAAUCUAUUAUUACUAUUAUCUUAAUUAUUAAUCUGAAACUAAAUAUCAUUAUUUUAUUAAUUACCUAAUUUGAGGCUAAAUCAUUAUUACAAAAAAUAUAUUAUUAUAUAUUUUGCUAAAUCUCUUACAUGUAUGGGGUACACACCAAACAAGUAAAACAAAGCAAAAAAAUUUUUUUUUUCCAUUGCCAUCAUCAUAAUAAUGAAUCAUUAUAUAUAUAUAUAUAAGUCUCCUUCCAUCCGGGCACACGCCCAAAUUUUUUUUUUUUUUAUUUUCCUUCCUUCCAAUGCUGUGCACACGCGUUCUCCUUUUUUUUUUUUUUUUAAUUAACCCUAACCUAAAAUUGAAAUAUUCCAAGGAAUUUUUUUUUUCUAAUAAAACUUAAGAUCUCCCAAAUUCCAAUACUAAAAUCAAAAUAUUAAAUUUUCACUAUUUGAUAUUAAAACGAAUUAAAAAAAAUAAUCUAACCCUAAUCUAGAUUUGGGGUUUUCCAAAAAAAAUAUAUCUAAUGUGUUUGAAAUUAAUCAAUGAAUCUAAAAUAUUAAACUAGGGGUUAGAAUCUUACCUAUAGAGAUUUUUUCUUCAACCCUGAAAUCUGACUCCAACCUUACGUUUUCUGAAAUUCUGCGAAUAGGAACUCUAUUCAGAAAAGAAGGGAAAAAAUAAAAUUUCUAAUUUAUACCUAGGGUAUUUAUUCGUAAAAUUACACUUUUACCCCUCUUCCACUUUAUUAAAUUAAUUAAUUAACUAAUUAAAUUAUUAAUAACAAUUUCCUAAAUUACCCUUAAAAGAAAAUGCCUGGGCGUUACAGAAUCAAUUAUCAAUGAAUGCAAAAAUGCAACUCCUCAUAGAGUCUCUUGCUUAUUUCCUCUACAACUUAAUUAGAAAAACUUAAAAGAACUCCAGAGUGAUUUCACAAAGAAAUAGGAUAAUUAUUUUAUCUUCAAACCUGCAAAAAAGAUAUGGAAACCGUAUCAUUGAAAUAAUUAAAACAGAAAACAAUUGGAAUCAAAGUGCUAUUGCCUUAUUUUAAAAACAAAAAAUAAAUAAAAUAAAUCUUAGGUUUUAUGCAAAACUAAAUAUUAGUUGCCUAAAGCUCCUUAUUUGGAAUACUAGAUGGGUGUCAAGCAUCAUUUCAACUCGGCACCUCCUUCGGUAAAUACCAAAAAUAAUAUUUGUUUUGGGAACAAGACUAGAGUUUUGAGCGGAUAUAAUAUAUUUUAAAAAAAUACACAAAAUAGAUUUCCAAGUAAAAUAAUUCUCAAGCUAGUAUAUUUCAGCUACAUGGGCAUCCAUAUGGUCGUAGAUUUUUUUUUUUUUAAUGUUGGUCUAUGUCAUAAAACUUUAAUUAGUAACUACGAUUUUGAUUUUUUAAAACAUAAAAUGAUAGUUAGAUAUUAUAGUUUUAAAUUUAUUUUUAAAAUCAUAAUCAUCAAUUACGAUUAUAAACUUAAAUUUAAAACCUUAGUUGGUAACUAAUGUUUUGACCGUUUUACAACAAAAUCAAAAUUAUAGUUCACAACUAUGAUCAUGUGAUAUAGAUACAAGUGUCAAUAAAACACUCCAAUUUGAAAAUUAUUUUGAGAGGGGAUCUACUUUGUAGAUUUUUAUUUGUUCAAAUAAAUUAUUUUUCCUCAAGGCUUAGAAAACUAACUUGUUUAGAACUAAAUUCAAUUAUACACUCUCCUAAUUUUUCUUUUUAUAAGAUCAAAUCCACGUUAUCAGUUUUCCACUAGAAUCCUCAUGAUUACUUGUAGAAUUGUUGAGAUGAAAUGGAAGUGUGGUAUGAGAUGCAUGCUUGUUUAAACUUCAGUUUCAAUCUUGGUCAAUGCUGUCCAUUCCCUUAGAUGUGCAGGAUGUGGAACCACUGCUGGAUCCUGUUGUGAGACUUGACCAUCAAUAUCCUUUUGGACUUGUGAAAGCAACCUUCCCCCGUUUUCUUGACGCAACCUGCUACUUCCACGUGAGCAUGCCAAACACGCUUAGGGCCUGUUUGUUGGUGUUUUCAAAUACAUUUUUGGAAACAGUUUUUACUGUUUUCAGAAAUAAAAUUAUGUUUAUUUAUUCUCAAAAAUAAAAAGAAUAAAAAAAAAAUAUUUAGUUCAGUUAAUAAAAAUAAUUUUUAAUAACAAAUAAAACAAAAAAACUUGUUUGGAAAAUAUUAUUGUUGGUUUUGUUUUUUAAAGUUGAGUAUUUUAUUUAACUAAUUGAUAUUGUAAAUAUAUAAAUAAUUUUUCUUCGUAAAAAUAAAAAUGUUCCAUUCUAAACAUUUUUUGCAUCGGUUUUAAUUUUUUUAAACAAAUUAUUACUUUGUAAACAUGUCUAAAUAUGUUUGAUUUCAAUAAUUGAUAAACCAUCUUAUCAAAAUAUCAUAAAUCGGUAAAUAUCAAUAAUUGGAUUUUAUGAAGAUAAAAUUUAUGAUAUCAAAUAAUAAUGCAUUAUACUUGGAAACCGAUGAUUUAUCUUUUCUACUAAUAAUAUAUUUAUGAUAAUUUUUUAUUUAAAAAUAUUUAUAAUUUUAUUUUAUAUUUAAGAAUUAUAUAAAAGAUAAAAAAAUUAAAGUAAAUCAAACUAAUUUAUUUAUAAAAAAUUAUUAAUUUUUAUAAAUUUACAUAUUAUAUAUAUAUAUAUAUAUAUAUAUACGACAGGAAUCCUUGUACUCUUUUCUCUCAUUCUCCUUAUGUUCUCCGUUUAUCUUCCAAGGCCCAAACUUUUAUUCACUAAGGUUGAACCAUUUCUCUCCUCAAAUAUUAACUCACUAAAGUCAAAAUUUAGAUCUAUGAUUGUUGUUAAGAUUCUUGGUUAGGAUUUCAUCUUUUGUGUUAUUGUUUAUGUUUUUGUUUGGUUUUUGAGAAAUCCUAGAAUUUAUGAAAGUUUCUGCUUUGAAAUACAUUAAAAAAAAUCAUAUCAGGAUAAAAUCCCAAAAUAUCCGAAAAAUAUUGAAAUGGAAAUGAAGAAAAAAUAAAUAUAAAUAAAACUUGUUGAUUAAGUUGAAUUUUUUUUAAACCGAAUUUUCAAUUUUCUAAUUUUUCUCAUUUUCCUUGGCAGUGUAAAAAAAAAAAAAAGAUAAGAGCACAUAGAGAACACGACAACAACACAAAAAACAUCAUUUUAAAACCAGGUUUUAGAAAACACAUAAAACACUUGAGAACAAAAAACACUCUUUUAUAAAACAUGAUUUUUGUGUUUUUUGUUCUAAAAAAAGAAAACAAUUUUUGGAAAUACCAACCAAACAAGCCCUUAAUGACUCAUUUUUCUUUUAUUUAUUUAUUUUAUUUUUUUGCUUAUUUGUUUAUUCUCUUGUCUGUUUUUAUUUUUAAAGAAAUAAAAAUAUUUUUCAAAAAAAUAAAAAAAAUAAAAUUAAAGAAUGUUCUCCAAACUAAAUGAAUAUUAUAGAACCCGACCAACAACAUACUAAACAAAAUGUAAAAAUCUAAAAAUAUGUUUGGUAGUAAUUGUUUUUAAUAUUUUUAAUACCUAAAAAUGAAAAAAUUUAGUGUUAAAAAAUGAAAAAUAUUUUAUAAAAUCACUGUAAAACUUAUUCUAAAUUAUUGAACUAAAUACGAAAAUAACAUAUCAUGCACGAAAAUAAGAUGAAGCAAAAAUAACUUGUAAUGUACACCUUGGGAAACACAUGAUAUUUUAGCAUCGUGUAGCAGAUUGCAAAAUCAAAUUUCGUGAGGAAUCAGGUGCCCAUAAAUCUCGUAUCUUCAUAAUGGCAUAUAGAGGAAAGUCAAGGUAAACGAAACCAUCAUAUUCUUCAACUUGCAGCCAACCAAAUAUGUUCAAGUCCAUUCAAUACAGUCCAUAAAAAUUUUAUUUUAUUUUUACAAAUUUUUUUUUCUUUCUAGAAUUCGAAUCUGAGCCUCACGACUAAAACCGAAUACGUACAAAGCAUCUAUUCUAAAAAUAAAAAAAUUAAAUUGAAUUAAAAAUUUUGGAUAUUAUAAAGCAGAAUACGUACAAAUUCUGUUGAAAGGUGAGUCAUAACAGUUAAAAAUUUAUAUAUAAUUUUUAUAUAUAUUUUAAUUAGUUUUCAAUUUUGGAUAUUAUCAAAUAAAAUUUUUAUGUAUAAUUUACUUUAGUCAGUAUUGUCCAACAUAAUUAAAUAAUACCAUGGUGGCUUAGGUUAAUUCCAAAAUGAUGGUAAUGGACUAAUGACAGAAAAAUUAUCAUACAAAAUACCUAGGCAACCAUAGGUGAAAAAAAAAGUAAUAUAAAUUCCAUAUAUUAUUAUUUAAUAUUAAUUUUCAGUCACCAUCAUAUGAUUUUUCAUAAAAUAAAAUAAAAAGGUAAAAAGUAAAUGUUCAUUAUGUUUGUUAGUAUAGUAUCAAAAGAAACUUAUUAAAUUUUUAGAAAUAUAAUUUAGAUUUAAAAGUAAUUGUAAAAAUUUGAAAAUAAGACUUAUAUUAUGAAAACAUUAAAAAAUAUUAUAAUUUAACCACAAAGAUAAUGAGUAUGACUAAGAUCGACGAUUAGGAAAAGAGAUUUUAUAAAAAAAAAAAUAUAUAUUUUGAAGUAUCUUACAUGGAUCAUUGAUUUUUAUUCAAAUUUUAAACAAAUUCAUACUAAUUUGGUUCUGGUUCUACUUGUUUCUGGUUCAAAAUGAGUUCAACGACACCUGGCCAACGGAGAUUGGUAAUUUGGCGAAUCUUGAACAAUUGGCCAUGGCCUAUAAUGACAAAUUCCGGCCUUCAGCCCUUCCAAAAGAGUUUGGCGCAUUGAAGAAGCUGAAAUAUCUGUGGAUGACGGAGGCGAAUUUGAUUGGCGAAAUACCGGAGAGCUUCAACAAUCUAUCGAGUCUGGAACUCUUGGACCUCUCAGUCAACAAAUUGGAAGGUACGAUCCCGGGAGGCAUGCUUACGUUGAAGAAUUUGAACUAUUUGCAUUUAUUCAUUAAUAGAUUGUCCGGCUACAUUCCUUCAUCCAUAGAAGCUCUCAACUUGAAACAAAUUGAUCUUUCCGACAACCAUUUGACGGGGUCCAUACCAGCGGGUUUCGGGAAGCUACAAAAUUUGACGGGUUUGAAUCUUUUCUGGAAUCAGUUGUCAGGAGAGAUACCAGCAAAUAUAAGCCUCAUUCCUACACUGGAAACCUUCAAAGUUUUUAGCAAUCAAUUGAGUGGAGUUUUGCCCCCAGCAUUUGGCCUUCAUUCGGAGCUCAAAUUCUUUGAGAUUUUUGAGAAUAAACUAAGUGGGGAAUUACCUCAACAUUUAUGCGCUAGGGGGGCUUUGCUUGGAGUGGUCGCUUCCAACAACAAUCUCAGCGGGGAAGUGCCC